UACCGGAAAGGCAACAAACCUUUCUUCUACUCUGGCAUCCUGGGAGAACUUCCCUCCAGAAGGAACCGCAUGAGGUAGAGAGAGGGAGUGAGGUGUGGGGGGGGAAGACACUGCCGUGCAUAAUGAGGCUCUGGGAAGUCAUAUUAAAAUUGAAAAUCUGAUUUCUAAAGACGUAGUUCCUCCAUCUUCACAAAAAAAGUUCAAAACAUUAACAGAAUUCCAAUCAAAUGCAGCAAGAUAUGUGUUGGUUUAAUUUAAGUCUCAUAUUUUGGAAACCUUAUAGCCAUCUGUUAUUUAUUGGUGAGUGAAAAGUUAACCAAGAGAAUAUCUGUUCUGAUUGGCUGCGAGCUGACCUCUCUAUGAGACAAUCUUUGACCCCGGCUCAUUUCCUACAGCACAUCAUUUUCCCUGAUUAGAUUCAGGGAAUCUAUCUAAAUUGUUGAUAACAAAUACACACACAGUGCUGACAUAUCGCCAUCUCAAGUGUGACUGCAACACUUCUCAAUGGUGGUGAAAUGUAGGAAGGGAGGAAGCAGAGGGAGACAGGUUUUUUUGGGGUUGUUUGUUUUCUAAUUCUUGCUCUCUUUUAUGCCUUCUCUCUCUGUGUAACAAAGGUGCGCCUUUGCAACUCUGAAAUCCUGCCCGCAGCAGCUUUUAGAGGAUAUAUUCACUGGGUUUAACCUCUUAUUCUAAUUGAGUCGCCUGGCAACUAAAGUUGGCAAUUGAACAGAAUGGAUAUUUUCAGAUAUAUUUCCUACCAUUUAGACAGUGAUUGGUAGCUCAUGAAGUUUCACAAGCUUCAUAAGGUAGGAUGACUUAAACUAUGCAUAUGCAAACUCAAUUUAUAAUAGAGGAAUAUCCAAUAGUUCGGAUUCUGUUUGUCUUAUCAAUGCUGUUUCCUUAGGACUUGUCUAGUCCGUCUCUUCUUGUCAAAUCUCCUGAAAGGAGGUGUAUGUUUCAGGUUCCUGGUCUUUUUCGACAAUCACACUCCUACCUAUGUUCGACUACCUUCUCUGCACCUGGUGUGCAGGCCAUUGGUGGACCCCUGGGGCGGACAUCCCAGGAGACGCCCACCGGAGAUUCAUCCGGGAGUACCUGAAGCAUAGCGGACUCAAGGAGUGGAUUUAUCGAGGUUCCAUGCGUCUGGAGCACUCGGUCAACACGAAUAAGGUUCUGAAGAACACGGACAGGGCGGGAGAGACGAAGGCGGCUGAACCCAACAGCGCAUCCCACGAAAAUCCGCAGGAAGCAUGUCCCGGGUCUCGCUCCACUCCGACCACUCCACCCACUCCACCGGCCGCCAUGGGUGAACUACACUCCGCACCUCUGCAGCCCCGCCUGCCUGGAACUAGUCUGGCCCGACAUGCCUCUGGAAGCGUUGCGUAAGCGCAACCCGCUGAUGUACAAGUUCAGACGGGCCAAGAGGCAGCUCACCCCUGUCCCCAUGGCCGCGGUAUUGAGUCUGGACGGCUCGUAAACAGGGUGUCCCCGUGGAGACGAAGCCCACCUAUAGCGUAUACUGCUACGCCCCCUGCGGCCUGCCCCUGACCGCCAUCGCCCAGGUGGAGCAGUACCUGCAUGACACGCGCUGCGACUUCCUGUCCAUUGACGCUUUCAGCCUGGACCCGCACCUGGGUCACCGGUGCCAAACCCCUCCCCUUCAAGGUGUUCCUUCCCGACCUGUCCGGCGGCAGGGAGAACAAGGCGGUGCCCUGCAUCAACAAGCACAACGGCCAGCUUCCCCCCCAAGAUGAGCUACCGGAGCGGCCGCGACACCAGCCACGUCCGUCUCGACCCCAGCCCCGGCGCUGUGCCGUGGCUGGGGUCGACGGUUGUAGGGAAAGAGAGUCCUGCUCCUGUCGCCAGCUGACUACCCAGAGCACCGAUGGGAGAGCGAUGGAGGAGAACUCCAGCUACGCUCAAAAGAGACUCAACAAUGCAGUUGUUACUGGCGUGUAUGAGUGCAACGCCCAGUGUCUCUGUGACCCCCCGCACAUGCUCGCACCGGGUGGCACAGCAAGGCGUCCAGGUGAGGCUCCAGGUCUUCAUGACCCAGGACCGAGGCUGGGGCGUCCGCUGCUUGGAUGACAUUCCCGGGGAGACCUUUGUGUGUUCCUACAGCGCCUCUAAAACGACUAAAGCCAAGGACCCUUCAAAGAGAAAGAAACCUGCAUCUUCCAUGGUUCCCAUGACUACAUCCAGAUGUUUCUUUGAUGGCGAGGAACACGGCUGCAUCCUUGAUGAUAAUAUGGAGAGAAAUGUCGCCCGCUACCUCAAUGAUAGCUGCAACCCAAACUUGUUUAAACAAUAUGUCUUUAUGGACACACACGACCUCAGGUUUCCCUGGUUAACCUCUUUUACUAGCAAGCGGGUCAAAGCUGUCACAGAGUUGACCUGGGACUACAGAUCUGUCCAAAAAGAGGAUGUUGCUGAAACUCUUCUAGGUCAGCUGUGCUCCUGUGGGUCUAAAAACUGUUCUGGCCAACUAUAAUGCUUAGAGACUUGAUUCGAAUUUUAUAUAAAUGUGUUGAUUUGCAAUGGUGUGAAGUUUUUUAUAUUUAAAUAAAUAUCCCUCAACAUUCACAAUCUGAAUAGUUCACAUU